rnacentral:rRNA from 1 species
AAGCAGGGGAUCGUAAGACCUUGCGCUUUUGGAGCGGCCGAUGUCUGAUUAGCUAGUUGGUGGGGUAAUGGCCUACCAAGGCUACGAUCAGUAGCUGGUCUGAGAGGACGGCCAGCCACACUGGGACUGAGACACGGCCCAGACUCCUACGGGAGGCAGCAGUGGGGAAUUUUGGACAAUGGGCGCAAGCCUGAUCCAGCCAUGCCGCGUGAGUGAAGAAGGCCUUCGGGUUGUAAAGCUCUUUCAGCCGGGAAGAAAAGGUUGCGACUAAUAAUCGCAAUUCAUGACGGUACCGAAAGAAGAAGCACCGGCUAACUACGUGCCAGCAGCCGCGGUAAUACGUAGGGUGCGAGCGUUAAUCGGAAUUACUGGGCGUAAAGGGUGCGCAGGCGGUUUUGUAAGUCAGAUGUGAAAUCCCCGGGCUUAACCUGGGAACUGCGUUUGAAACUACAAAGCUUAGA